rnacentral:rRNA from 1 species
UGCAAGUCGAGCGGACAGAAGGGAGCUUGCUCCCGGAUGUUAGCGGCGGACGGGUGAGUAACACGUGGGUAACCUGCCUGUAAGACUGGGAUAACUCCGGGAAACCGGAGCUAAUACCGGAUAGUUCCUGAACCGCAUGGUUCAAGGAUGAAAGACGGUUUCGGCUGUCACUUACAGAUGGACCCGCGGCGCAUAGCUAGUUGGUGAGGUAACGGCUCACCAAGGCGACGAUGCGUAGCCGACCUGAGAGGGUGAUCGGCCACACUGGGACUGAGACACGGCCCAGACUCCUACGGGAGGCAGCAGUAGGGAAUCUUCCGCAAUGGACGAAAGUCUGACGGAGCAACGCCGCGUGAGUGAUGAAGGUUUUCGGAUCGUAAAGCUCUGUUGUUAGGGAAGAACAAGUGCAAGAGUAACUGCUUGCACCUUGACGGUACCUAACCAGAAAGCCACGGCUAACUACGUGCCAGCAGCCGCGGUAAUACGUAGGUGGCAAGCGUUGUCCGGAAUUAUUGGGCGUAAAGGGCUCGCAGGCGGUUUCUUAAGUCUGAUGUGAAAGCCCCCGGCUCAACCGGGGAGGGUCAUUGGAAACUGGGAAACUUGAGUGCAGAAGAGGAGAGUGGAAUUCCACGUGUAGCGGUGAAAUGCGUAGAGAUGUGGAGGAACACCAGUGGCGAAGGCGACUCUCUGGUCUGUAACUGACGCUGAGGAGCGAAAGCGUGGGGAGCGAACAGGAUUAGAUACCCUGGUAGUCCACGCCGUAAACGAUGAGUGCUAAGUGUUAGGGGGUUUCCGCCCCUUAGUGCUGCAGCUAACGCAUUAAGCACUCCGCCUGGGGAGUACGGUCGCAAGACUGAAACUCAAAGGAAUUGACGGGGGCCCGCACAAGCGGUGGAGCAUGUGGUUUAAUUCGAAGCAACGCGAAGAACCUUACCAGGUCUUGACAUCCUCUGACAACCCUAGAGAUAGGGCUUUCCCUUCGGGGACAGAGUGACAGGU